UACGGGGGGAGCAAGCGUUGUUCGGAAUUACUGGGCGUAAAGCGUGCGUAGGUGGUCUGUUAAGUCUGAUGUGAAAGCCCUGGGCUCAACCUGGGAAUGGCAUUGGAUACUGGCAGGCUAGAGUGCGGUAGAGGAUGGCGGAAUUCCCGGUGUAGCAGUGAAAUGCGUAGAGAUCGGGAGGAACAUCUGUGGCGAAGGCGGCCAUCUGGACCAGCACUGACACUGAGGCACGAAAAGUGUGGGGAGCAAACAGG
rnacentral:rRNA from 1 species